GUAGUCGUGGCUGAGUGGUUAAGGUGAUAGGCUUGAAAUCUAUUGGAGUACUCCUGUACAGGUUCAAAUCCUGCUGACUACA